rnacentral:rRNA from 1 species
GACGAACGCUGGCGGCGUGCUUAACACAUGCAAGUCGAACGGAAAGGCCCUGCUUUUGUGGGGUGCUCGAGUGGCGAACGGGUGAGUAACACGUGAGUAACCUGCCCUUGACUUUGGGAUAACUUCAGGAAACUGGGGCUAAUACCGGAUAGGAGCUCCUGCUGCAUGGUGGGGGUUGGAAAGUUUCGGCGGUUGGGGAUGGACUCGCGGCUUAUCAGCUUGUUGGUGGGGUAGUGGCUUACCAAGGCUUUGACGGGUAGCCGGCCUGAGAGGGUGGCCGGCCACAUUGGGGCUGAGAUACGGCCCAGACUCCUACGGGAGGCAGCAGUGGGGAAUAUUGCACAAUGGGCGGAAGCCUGAUGCAGCAACGCCGCGUGCGGGAUGACGGCCUUCGGGUUGUAAACCGCUUUCGCCUGUGACGAAGCGUGAGUGACGGUAAUGGGUAAAGAAGCACCGGCUAACUACGUG